rfam:Pteropus alecto contig779, whole genome shotgun sequence.
GUCAAGAGGGAACAGAGAAGCAGGCUGCCCGUCUAAUCUCAGAAGCUAAGCAGGGUCGGGCCUGGUUAGUACUUGGAUGGGAGACCACCUAGGAAGACCAGGUACUAUAGACU